AACAUUGGCAUCGAAGUGAUACCCUAUGAUAUCAAGAAAAAUCCUAUGGAACAAAGAAGCAGAUAAUGAUCACAGAAGUGCAACAAAGAGCACCAGGACCUGAUCAUCAAAAGUUAUGGUGUAGAUCUAAUUCAAGAACAGGACACCUAAGUUGAACUCUGGCAAGGUUGUCCCAAUCUGCAUGGUUUGAUACCCAGGCUUCUUUUGUACAAGUCCCUAGUCCACCCUCAUCUUGAGAACUGUUCCGGUGUCUGGGAUCCCUACAACAUCUAAGAUGUCCAGGACGCUACUUCACAAUGGGGACCACAAGAGAACCAGCAGUUUGACUGAGAUGAUCAGCACCUUUUAGUUGCCUACUAUAUCUACAACUACAAGGCACUCUGUAAGAA